rnacentral:rRNA from 1 species
CAGUCGCCGCGGUAAUACGUAGGUGGCAAGCGUUGUCCGGAAUUAUUGGGCGUAAAGCGCGCGCAGGCGGCUUCCCAAGUCCCUCUUAAAAGUGCGGGGCUUAACCCCGUGAUGGGAAGGAAACUGGGAAGCUGGAGUAUCGGAGAGGAAAGUGGAAUUCCUAGUGUAGCGGUGAAAUGCGUAGAGAUUAGGAAGAACACCGGUGGCGAAGGCGACUUUCUGGACGAAAACUGACGCUGAGGCGCGAAAGCCAGGGGAGCGAACGGGAUUAGAUACCCCGGUAGUCCCUGUCUCUUAUACA